AUCGCUUCUCGGCCUUUUGGCUAAGAUCAAGUGUAGUAUCUGUUCUUAUCAGUUUAAUAUCUGAUACGUCCUCUAUUUGAGGACUAUAUAUUAAAUGGAUUUUUAGGCCUGGGAGAUGGAAUAUGGGCUUGUUUAAAUUUUAUUUUAUUUUAUUUAGGACCGGGCUGUGGCGCAGGCUGGAAAGCAAGC